GCGCAUUCCGAGGCGGCUGUUCGCAGGCCCUGAGACCCGACUCGGGGCAGCACGGGUGCUGCGGGGCCGCGCGAUAAACCACAGGCUAACGUGUCUGCUUGCCACAAUUUCAUGGAUGCUGACAGAACAGAAGACUGCUGGAUCAGAGAUGAAAGACUUGAAGCAAAAGCAGUAGCCUGCCUGUCAACAUGUUUGUGUGACAAAGUCUGGAGGUGAGCCAUCUGAUAAAGCAGCUGAUGGGGCAGCUUCGGGAGCAUCAACAUCCCAGACUCCUUCUAUCUUGUUGCUUCACCAUGCUCAACAUGUGGCUUCCAACUCAUGGUCAAAGUUGCCAGCUCAGACUCCAGCCAGCUGCAUG